CUGCAGCCAGUUAAGCUGACUGCUUUCCACCAGGUGGCGCUAGAUGUGCAGUGCUGCAAACCGCAACCUCCUGGGUAUUGUCUGCAGCCUGUCACUUGCACAAGCCGCCAUGAGGGACCUUAGAGACAGCC
rnacentral:snoRNA from 1 species